UAUAUGGAAUUGCAGCUACUGGAAUUGUCCCUGCAGGCUUUAAUUCAGUUUUUCAUUGGAUUUCAGUGUCCCCUUGUGCCCUGAUCAUCAGUGCAGACCAGCCUGAAGCCACCUCUUCCCUUUGGCACACAGAUUCCAGGUUGGGAUGUGGAGUCAAGAAAAGCUCACGACCAACACCAGCAGAGUGGAAUAUUUCCCUGUUUUAUGAGUUAGUUUUUUUUUCAGGACUUUCUCAAGUGUUUUGCUGGCUGUGGUCUCUCAGAGGUCUCUCUGAUCACUUGCUAAAGAUGAUUUACAGGUUGAAGAGCAGUUACCAGGCUACAAAAAUCCUCCUUUGAGAUUCUUCACUCCGUGUUCCACGAGUGGUCAAUUAGAGGGCAGCAGGGUCUAGACUUCUGCUGCUUUGCAUGAAGAUCUCCCUGCCCAUUCUCCUCACUCAGAAUUACUAAUUGAGAAUACAGCCUGGGUGACACCAUGGGACAGCUGAGUGACAAUACAGGAUUGUGUGUCUCCAGGUUUCUGAAGGACUGGCUCUGAGAGCAGAUCACAACAUGUCUGCAUGGACAGACCAAAGGCAGAAAGCCUUGAGCUGUUUGUGCCACAUAAACAGGCGAGAGGAAGAUAAAAAGGAAGAUAAAUUAACACAGGCAUUUACUGAGAACAGCAAAGGAAUUCUCCCAUUUUGCUCCAAUCCUCCCUCCAGGAGAUCUCUGCUGUCCAUGGCCACUGAGUGUCCCUCCAUGGCUGAGAAAAUUCCAGCAUCCCAUGGGGAGAUGCUCCGCCCAGGGGAGGAGCCAAGCAUUCCUACCUGGAUACAAUCUGAGCCUGGAACAGCACAGCAGCCUUUGCUCACUGCAUUCCCAGAGGAGCAGCUUUCUCCUGCCCUGCAUUCCCAGAGGAAGAGCAGGCCCAUCUCCAGCAGCCCUGGAGCUGCAGAGGAAAACUGCAGGAUCCCUGCUCCAGCAGAAGCACAGCUGGCACUGCAGGAGGGCUGAGCCCCCAUGGGAUGGGACUGUGCCACUGACCCACAGGGCUCAGCUCCUAAACUGACUUUGGCACUGUUUUUUGGAUUACUGCAUUUUUAUGUUAUUAUUAUUCCCACAUCUUUGCCUGACAGCCCCUUAAUUUCAAAAUUAUAAUAAUUCAGAGAAGGGGGUUUACAUUUUCCAUUUCAAGGAAAUCUUCCUUAGCAGACACCUGGCUUUUCAAACCAAGGCAGCACAACAUCCAAUCUUAGCUUGAAUCCAAACUCAGCUUUUCAAGACUUGUUGCCAUGUCCCUUUGAAAACUGGGGGAUGUUACUGAAGUGGGGAAGUUGGUUCAAAUGAGAAAAAAAAAAGAAUUCCCAUUAGGAGGUUUCUUUCACACUCAAUUUGAAUGCUUGAAUAUGGAUACGUUGGAGUUUGAUCUUGUUUAUUCUCUGCACAUAAUUCAUCCUGCUUUACUGUGAAUAUAUUAUUGGAGACUAGCAGGGACAGCAGAAGGAAAACUUGUUUGCUUGAGUGUAGCUGGAUUUCUGGCUCAUAGGACAAACCCAGUGUCAGGGGACUUGCAGGGAGCAGACUCAGGGACAUUUAAAGUCUCUGUGAGACAAAAAGAGGUCACGUUGAAUACAUGUGUGUGUGUGAAUGUUCCCUCCACAGGGCUGGUGGCAGUUUCAUAAUACUGAAAUCCUGUGAAAAGCUAAUGAGAAUUUGGAAUUUUCCAAAAUUGGAACAACUUUUUCCUGAAUGUCUUCAAAUCUCACUGAAAUGAGGUUUGAUUUAAAGCCUCAUGAAAGAGUUAAAUUAAAAAUAGCCACUGAGGUGUGAGUUUUCCAUUUUGAGCCCAUCUCCUUUUGGGAACAGGUUUGUUGGUCCUCACAUGUGCUGACAGAUUGCAGAGCUGCAGUGGCAGUUUGGAGUGCAGUUUAUCUUUUUGAAUAAAAAUGUCUUCAGGAGAGAGAAAAACUGGUUGUUUCUCUCUGGAUCCAGCAGUUUUGUCAGUGCAAACUCAAAUAUUAAAAGAACAGUGAUUAGGAAAAGUAAAAACUCGUGUUGUUUUGACAUAGACAAAAAUAAUUUAAAUACUUAAAAAAAAAGUCUUGGUCAUGAGAGGAUAGAAUAAGAUGGUUAAUUCAGCAUUUUCUUUGAGGAAAAUGGGGUUUUUUGGAGCCUUCAUGAGAGAUUGUCCUCAUCUUUUCUGAGAUUUUUUCCAGUAAGUGUUUCUCAGUGGAGAACUCAUGGAUGCAGCUGCAGGAGGAUUCCCCCUUCCAUCAGGAGAGUCUGGGAGCACGUGAAAUGUUGUCAAAAAUCAGAUGUGAAGAUCCUGUGAUCUCCAUCAUCCUGAAUUUCUCCCUUGAUUUAUGGAAUCUGUUUUACCUUGAAAUAUUACAUUUUUUAUGACUCAAAUCACAUUUCUGGUGUCGGUGGUCAGAGGUUCCCAGACAGAGGAAUACAAUGUUCUGUUGAAGGAUAAAAUAUAUUUAGGCCUUUGUUAGGGAAGGUUUGGUACAGCUUCAAAGUCUAAAGACAGGAGCUGCUCAAACCUUUAAUGCACAUGGAGAAGAUUCUGUGCCUCCUAAUAAAUUCUAGUGAUGGGAGAACAAAGAAUAGAAAAUCUAAGAUCUAAUCCUUGGCCAUGUCUGAAUUAUGGAAUCUCAAGGCAUAAAAUCAGUAUCAUUUUUUAAAUCUUUUUAUAAUUAGGUCAUAGUUUUUGGGUGGAGUGCUUUUAAUAAAAGUUACUGCUUUUAUUUAAUAACUGAUAAAAAAUUCUUAAUUUUUUUUUUGUUUCUCAUUUUAACUCAGUUAAUUAAUCCUCACUUUAGUAAUUAUCCUUGUAGACUUUAAACCCACAUUCUUAAAUGUUGCUGUGAUCUUUUUUGCAAUAAAUGGCAUUAAAUAAAGUCCAUAGUCAUCUCAGGUGAGGUCAGAAAAUACUGGCAUUUCACAGGAGGUUGUGACAAGAGAACAAAACUUUAAGGAAACUGUGCUGUCACCUUGAUGUUAUUCCUUGGCAUUUUUGCUGCAGAGCCAUAGUUAAAACUCUAGGCUUGUACAUGCUCUGCUGGGAAAGUUUCCUUUCAUCUGAACUUUGUGGUUUUUUCAAUAUUCUUUCCAUUUUAUUUCAAUUUGUACCUUUUGAAAUACUUUUUUUUUUCUUUUGAAGCUCAGAAUUUCUUUUUUUUUAAAUCAGAAAUCCUGAUCUUCGUGGGUUAUGAACUGAUGUUGUAAAAUAAGAUUGUUCCUCUUAGUAGCUGUUUAUGUUAUAAUAUGAACUAAGUUAUUUGCAGUUCAUUCAAAAUGAGACACAAUUGUAUUCUGGACAUGUGUUGCUUUUCUUCUGGGGUUUAUUUUGUUAUGCAUUGGAAGUUUUGACUGUAAUCAGCAAAAAUAUUGAUCAGUGUUGCUUGUGGCAUGCCAUGGAUUUGGUCAGGCUGCUCCAUCCCAUGGGGAUUUUAACCAAUAAUUCAGGAAGGAAAAGUAACUUCUAUGGGAUAGUUCACAUCUGCAAUUUCUUUCUAGAAACAGCCUCUUAAUCAAAAAUUUAAAUGUGAUAAAUAUCCUCAACCAAUAAUCUUUCCUCACUUGUGGAACUGAUUGUUAAAAGAAACCAGUUGAAUCCUCUGAUUGAUUUUACUGAUGCCUGGAACCAACCAGAACAUUACAGCCCCUCUUAUCAAUGAAUAAUUUAUGUCCUACGAGUGAAAAAGCCCCAAAAAAACCAAACCAAGGUGGGUAAAUAUCUCUGCUUAAGAGUUUAACAGCUCAUCUUUUGGGUGAGACUAUUAUAAAGUCAUUUGGAGGGAGAAGCUCAUACAUAAAAAUGAAUGUUGCCAUGCAACAAGUACUAAAGAAAGAACCACAAGAUUUAAGCCAUAAUUAAUUUCCCAUAGCAGCUGGGAAUGUUCAGGAAUAAGGAAAUUUGGAGGCAGCAGUGUUAAUUAAGGCUCAUUUGCUAGAAAUCUCUGGCCUGUAAUUGAUAACUUUGAUGUGAGAUGUGAUAAGAAGUCCAAGUGAUGUUUGCCAUGAUUGUAGCAAUGUCUGUGCUGUUUACUAUUUAUGCAAGAGAAUUCUCUGCUCCUCAGAUUUGCUAGAACUGCUUUGCCAGGCUGUGGGGCCUUCAACAGAGCUGGCUUUGUAGAAAAAUCAAAGAGAUUUUGGGACACAAUGAACCUCUAACUUUUUCUUUUUGUGAUUGAGUUCUUUGUAGAUAAAGCUCCAUUCAUCCAUUGAGAGGUGAGAGAACAGAGCCUUUGGUGAAGCUCUCAGAUAUUGAGGUGGAUCUGCUGAGACCCCACUGGAAGCAGAUUAAGAAAGAAAAUCCUUAAUAGCAGGUAAUGUGUGAAAGGGAGCAGAUAGCUUUGGCUUAGGGCAUUUACAUUAAAGAAGUUUCUGAAUGCUUUGUUUUAAAAUUCAUAUUUCUUAAAACUUUCCUGUGAAGUUCUUGACCAAUUCUAAUCAUUUCUGUACCUACACAAGAAAGAGAGACAUCUGUGCCUGUUCAAAUAUAAAAAGGUUUGUAAGCUUUUUUCCUCCAUCUGAAUCUUGGCUCUUAUUCCUUAAAUUGCUUUUUUUUUUUUUUUCUUCUGGAGUGAAUCCAGUUCAAUCCACAUUAAAGUUACCUGGCAGUGAGAGAGAUUACUGCCCAUGUCUUAACAUAAAGAUAAAAAAGGGUUUUCUGGCAAAGGAGGUCAGAGAUGAUAAAAGAAAAAUUGAACUGUGAAUGUUACUGACUUGAGGAGGGGGAGCUGGGUGUGGGAUGGGAUUGGGAAGUAAAGGAUCAAUGCAAAAUGCAGC